rnacentral:rRNA from 1 species
GACAGAGGGGGCAAGCGUUGCUCGGAAUCACUGGGCGUAAAGCGCACGUAGGCGGAUGUGUCAGUCAGGGGUGAAAUCCCGGAGCUCAACUUCGGAACUGCCUCUGAUACAGCACGUCUUGAGUCCGGAAGAGGUGGGUGGAAUUCCUAGUGUAGAGGUGAAAUUCGUAGAUAUUAGGAAGAACACCGGUGGCGAAGGCGGCCCACUGGUCCGGUACUGACGCUGAGGUGCGAAAGCGUGGGGAGCAAACAGG